UACGUAUGGUGCAAGCGUUAUCCGGAUUUACUGGGUGUAAAGGGAGCGCAGGCGGCACGGCAAGCCUGAUGUGAAAGCCCGCGGCCCAACCGCGGGACUGCAUUGGGAACUACCGGGCUGGAGUGCCGGAGAGGUAGGCGGAAUUCCUAGUGUAGCGGUGAAAUGCGUAGAUAUUAGGAGGAACACCAGUGGCGAUGGCGGCCUACUGGACGGUGACUGACGCUGAGGCUCGAAAGCGUGGGGAGCAAACAGG
rnacentral:rRNA from 1 species